rnacentral:misc_RNA from 1 species
AGAAAAGAAAGAGCAGCAAGAAAAAGGUUGAUGAGAAGAGAAGUGGAGUGAAGAGGGAAAAAGAGAGGGCUAGCUCACCAAGAGUUGUAGCUUCGUACGACCGGCAGUGAGAGCCGACAUGCCGUUCCCGCCGCAGGCACUCGUUAUCGUUGUUCGUCUGGUACCGGUUUGAGAGCUUCGAGACAAAGUUCCUUCGAGUUCCUUCUUCCCCUUUCAGCAUCUCUCCUUAAGCAUUUGUGCCUUCUUUCGCAUACAAGUGCUCUGUUGUACCGUGCGCGCCCUCGCUUCCAACAAGUAAUCUUUACUAAAGAGAAAAGGAUAUCAUAAGGAUAUCAUUGUAAUAGCGUUAAAACUUGGAAUAAUAUAAGGAUUAUAUUGUCAGUACCAAGAGGAUAAAAAAAAAAAAGGAAGCAAGAGAAAGAGAGCUACGUUUCCUGAAAUUAAAAAACAAGUUGGAGAGGAGACUUGUUCCUUAUCCUUUUAACAAUUUAAAAAGAUUACAAGAACUUCCUUCUUUCUCUCACACUCGUUCUGCUUUUUCUUUUUUUUUUUCACCUCUCCCACUUGCAACUCCUCCUGUAGCAUCCGCCUGCCUCUCUCUUCCUCUCUUUCUCAGUAUCCCCCUUGUUCCCACCUUUCCCCUAAACGUUCCUCGUCGAAGGCGCGAGGUAGACGGCACCGUGCGCUACGUAAACCGCGCACAGGGGAUUUCUAAAUUCCUUGGGCGCGGGAGAGUUUUAGCGAGGUUGUAAAUAUGGCGUGUGAACGGUGGUGCUCAGAACGUGGCGACUAUGAGGCGACCGGUUCUUCUUCUCCUUCACAAUGGCCUUACGUACUACUACUCCUGGUCGUUCUGCUUUGCUGUAGCUCGUCAUCCCUGGCGAUUGGUCAGUCUGAUUAUGAACACUAUGGAUAUUAUGGAAUCAUGUCAAAUGCAAAAUCAUCGAUCGAUUAUAAAUCUCCAUAUAUUUCCUUCAUUCCUGAAGGAGAACUACUCCAUAGAGAACGUCGGAAGGCUAUGGAUAACGACAAGAUAAAUUCCGAUAGAGAACCUCUAGUUGAAUUGACUGAUGACAAGAAGCAACAGCAACAGCAACAGCAGCAACAGCAACAGCAACAGCAACAGCAAGGGUCAGAACAAACUUCUAUUAAUCAUCAGAUAAAUAUGCAACUACAAUCGACGCUUCAACAAAACCUGAAACAACAGGAACAACAGCAACAGCAACCACAAAAAUCUCUUAAUGUAACACAAAACUCACAAUCAGAUAAUAGUUCCUAUUCGACGAUUAGUGGAGCACCAGAGAUUCACGAGGCAGUUUCUAGCACCACUCCAAGUAUAAUGGUUUCUACACAAAAAUCUGAAGUUACGUCCAAGAAGUCAGUUGUUGUAUCUCAGCCAAUGAAUCCAGUAACUGGAAGUGCUACACAGCAACGACCUGGUAACACCACUGAGGAAUCGGAUAUUAAUGAAGGAGGCUAUGUCAGUGAAGCAGUCAACAACGAUCAAAGCAAAAAGGUUCCAGAGGUUUCGGAGCCUACCACUGCAAAAGACAAUAGUAAUGAAAAGGAACAGUCAGAUACAGAUAUAGGUGACAUAUCCAUCACCAAGUUUUCUGAUAUGAAUUCAUUCAAUAAAUCACUCACACAAAACAAUAUCACCAAGACCGAGAUGGAUACACAUCAGUAUUACAACAGUUCAUUCAUAAUUGAUGAAAAAUUUGCAAAGUCAUAUUGGGUUGACAUGGAUAAUCAUCCUGAUCUUCGUGUUAAUAAUUUGCUUAGCAAAAGUCAUCGUCGUGCAGCAACCGUCAAAUUGAAAUUUGACUUCCCAUUCUAUGGUCACAAAGUUCGUAAUAUUACCAUUGCAACGGGUGGCUUUUUAUAUACUGGAGAGUAUGUACAUAGUUGGCUAGCUGCCACUCAAUACAUUGCACCACUUAUGGCGAAUUUCGACACAAGACUUUCCAAUGAAAGUUUUGUUAAAUAUGCCGAUAAUGGUUCUUCAUUUACGGUCGAAUGGGAAAAAGUUUAUCUGCAAGAGAAGCAGUCAGAUGGUUCAUUUACUUUCCAAGUAACUCUGCAUCAAAACGGUGACAUCGUUUUCGUCUAUUCUGUUAUUCCUUUCAUAGUAGAACAAAUAGAAGACACUACACAUCCUGUCAAGGUUGGACUCAGUGAUGCUUACAUUAUGGACAGGACAGUAUUCUUUGUUCGUCGAAAAACGAUCUACGAAUACCAUCGUGUCAAUUUCAACAGACAAGACAUCAAAAAUUGGACGGUCAUUUAUUUGCGUGCAUUACCCACUUGCUUGGAAAUGGAUAAUUGCCACGAUUGCAUAACAAAGUUAACAGAUUUUGAUUGCAAAUGGUGUCCCGAAUUGAAUCAGUGUAGUACUGGUACAUUCAGAUCACGACAAAACUGGCUAUUAAAAGGUUGUGACAUUAGACAUAUUAAAGAAGUGGACAAAUGUCCAUCACCAACGACUGUUUACAAGGAACAAGAAGAAGGACAUGAUCACGAUGGACAUGUGCAUACAGAAGAAGAUGCUAACAUAAGUAAAUCUAUCGUGAAGAAGAAAAGUCCAGGAAACAGUCCUUUAGAACAUACUCGAGAUAAUAUGAACAUGAGUGUGUCAGGUAUAAUUGGAAUUCUCCUUGUGGUCACUCUGAUUGCUGGUUUAGGAGGAUGGGUUGCAUAUGCAUAUCGUAAUCCUCACAGUGCAUCCGGACAAAUGUUAAUCAGGUACCGACCAAGUCAGUGGAGCUGGCGAAGAGGGGAAGCACGUUACACUGCUGCAACAAUCCAUAUGUGAUCACACAUAGGCAAAAUAUGAGAAAGUUAACAGAAAUGAAAGAAUACAGAACUGCUGGACCAAACUUCCUACUAAUUGUAUACUACUGUGAACACCAGACACGACAAAAGUACAUACCCAUCUAUAAAACGUUUGCUUGGACAAUGAGAGAAGCAUGUCCUUCCAGCAAAAUUUGCAAUAAUACAAAUGUUUUGACCAUGUCAACUUGUAAGCAAAUGAUGUGAUCCUUGAAGAAGAGAUUGCUGAAAAUGAUAUCAUUCCUACAAGAGGCAUCAAUGAAUGAAAUCUAUGAGUUACUUAUAUAAACUAUUUUAUAAACAAACCAAGGAUCAAUGAGCUCGAACUCGCAUUUGAUGGACUCAGAAGCAACAAUCAGGACACGAUAGUGGCAUGCAUAUUGCAUUAUUACAAAAG